AACUUUUAAUAAUAAAUCUCUUAGUUCUAACAUUAAUAAAAAACGUAAUAAAAUAUAAUAAGUAAUAUAAAUUAUAGAAUUUAGUAAAUUAUUAAAUCUUUAAACGCACAUUGCGCUUACUAAUAUUCUAGUAAGUAUACUUAUUCGAAUAUUA
rfam:Neurospora crassa OR74A unplaced genomic scaffold supercont12.9, whole genome shotgun sequence.